rnacentral:rRNA from 1 species
GACGAACGUUGGCGGCGUGCUUAACACAUGCAAGUCGACUGGAAAGGCCCUACUUGUGUGGCGUUCGAGUGGGGGCACGGGUUAUAAAACGUUAGUGAAACGGCCUUUAGGUCUGGAUUAACUUCGGGAAACCGGGGCUAAUAUCGGUUGAUGCAUCCCGUCGGCAUCGCGGCGGUUGUAAUAGUUACGGUGAGGGAAGAGCACCCGGCGUCUGAGUAGGUUGUUGGCGUAAUGGCCUACCAAGACGUCGACGGUGAGUAGGCGUGAGAGGGUGGACGGCCACAUUGGGACGGAGAGACUGCCCAGACUCCUACUGGAGGGAGCAGUGGGGAAUAGUGCACAAUGGUCGCAAGCCUGAUGCAGCGACGCCGCGUGGGGGAUGACGGCCUUCGGGUUGUAAACUCCUUUCAGCCAUGACGAAGCCCUCGUGGUGACGGUAGUGGUAGAAGAAGCACCGGCUAACUACGUG